UUUAAAGGGGGUUUAGACCACAUUCUGGUCCAUUGAGUGGGGUUAAUCUCAUAGCCUAUGUCAUUCUCCCAUUGUUUUUUGAUUGCGUCUAGGGGAUUUACAGGAUUUUGGAGUAGUAUUUUGUAUAUUGCGGAUACCGUCCCUUUACCGUUUCCCUUUGUUGUUAGGAGGAGGUUUUCGAAGGUUGUCAGGGGCCUAGUUGCUGCUGAUUUUACUGUUGGGUUGUUUAAGAGGGCAUGAAGUUGGUGUUGUGUUAACCAGGGCAUUUGGGUGUCUUCUAGUUUGUCUUGUAUUUCUUGUGUUGACAAGGGUUUGUUAUUUUUAUAAAAGUCUAUUAGGCGAUAUAAGCCUUUGGUUCGCCAGGUUUUUAUCUUGAGGUUUUGUGCUGCACGGUGGAAUA